GACGAACGCUGGCGGCGUGCCUAAUACAUGCAAGUAGGACGCACAGUCUAUACCGUAGCUUGCUACACCAUAGGCUGUGAGUUGCGAACGGGUGAGUAACGCGUAGGUAACCUGCCUAUUAGAGGGGGAUAACUAUUGGAAACGAUAGCUAAUACCGCAUAACAGUAUGUAACACAUGUUAGAUGCUUGAAAGAUGCAAUUGCAUCGCUAGUAGAUGGACCUGCGUUGUAUUAGCUAGUAGGUAGGGUAAUGGCCUACCUAGGCGACGAUACAUAGCCGACCUGAGGAGGUGAUCGGCCACAAUGGGACUGGGACACGGCCCAGGCUCCCACAGGAGGCAGCAGUAGGGGAUCUUCGGCAAUGGGGGGAACCCUGACCGAGGCACGCCGCGUGGGGGAAGAAGGGUCUCGGGUCGUAAAGCUCGGUUGUUAAGGGAGAACGAGUGUGAGAAUGGAAAGUUCAUACUGUGACGGUACUUAACCAGAAAGGAACGGCUAACUACGUG
rnacentral:rRNA from 1 species